rnacentral:other from 1 species
AGAGCCCUAAGAUGUACGUGAUUUCACGAUAGUUUUGAGCCAACACCCUUUUAAUCGGGAGUUCGGGUUCAUUUGUGGAAUUGAGAGCAUGAUUUAUCAUGAAACAAGGAAGCAAAUGACAGAGCACCCACCUGCGAGAGCAGGUUCAAAACCUAGGAGACACGGCAUACCCGGGGCUCUU